rnacentral:piRNA from 2 species
UCUGUCCUUACUGCUGAACAUCCUGCUU